GAUGAACGCUAGCGGCAGGCCUAACACAUGCAAGUCGAACGGUAACAGGAAGAGCUUGCUCUUCGCUGACGAGUGGCGCACGGGUGCGUAACGCGUAUGCAACUUACCUCUAACUGGGGCAUAGCCCGAAGAAAUUCGGAUUAACACCCCAUAACAUUAUGAUUCGGCAUCGUUUUAUAAUUAAAGGUUACGGUUAGAGAUGGGCAUGCGUCCCAUUAGUUUGUUGGUGAGGUAACGGCUCACCAAAACUACGAUGGGUAGGGGGCCUGAGAGGGUAAUCCCCCACACUGGUACUGAGACACGGACCAG
rnacentral:rRNA from 1 species